rnacentral:rRNA from 1 species
AUGAUAGCUUUGCUCCUAAAGAGUGCUGAGCUGAAGGAAAAAAAGAUCGAGGGAUUGGAGGCGCUCAGAUCUAGUGUUGACUUAGAUCACUCCGAUGGAGAACAAGGAACUGAUGAAGAAGAUGGCAAUCAGGUUGUGAUUUUGAGGUCAAAACCAGGCACAAGCAGCUCAAUGGGUGGCCCUAUGGACAAAUUCUGCAAGCCUAGUAUAGAAGAAACUGUCAAGAGGAAGCAAAAAAGAAAUUGUGAAUCCGAAAAGGUUCAGUCGAAGUUGUCAACUCAGGAAAGACAACAGAGGAGGGAUAGAGCUUGUGGAUAUAUAUGUCAAUUUUUCUAUGAAGCUAGCAUCCCACAUAACACUGUCACACUUCCUAGCUUUGCAUGUAUGCUUCAGGCCAUUGGAGAUGUUGGCACAAACUUCGAUGGGCCUACUGCAUAUGAGAUGAGUGGACCAUUCUUGCAGAAAAGGAAGAAGAAGGUGUUAGAUUCAUUCAAACCACAUAAGCAAGCAUGGGAGCACACAGGUUGUACCGUAAUGACAGAUGCAUGGACAGAUAAAAAGGGCAGGGGGGGUAAUGAACCUAGUUGUGCAUAG